UUUCCAAGGAGGGUGGUAGAUUAAAAAAUCAUACAGAAAACAAAUCCCAACUCGAGUGUCUGGCAAACUAGUGGAAAUCUGUUUUGAUAUUUCACAUCUUUUGGCAGAGCCUGAACGCAGCGAGUGGGAGUGGCCGUCGUAUUCAAAGCAGCCUCCCCCGUCGACUGUGACGUCACAUGAGCGACCCGUGUUGCUUCCAGCUGACUGCGAGAGGGAAAGAUUGCGAGAGAGCGAGCGCAGUGGAGGUGGGAGCAGCAUUUUCUGUGAGGCGCUCACUCGGAUUGUCUUUUUCUUCUAAUUCGUGUCGUCUUUAUGUUGACACGUUGUCACUUUGUCUCCUUUUUGGGCGCCUCGUGGACUUGUGCCGAUCUUGCUCUUGCGUGCGCGCGGUCUCGAUGCCCACGGACCGAAGGGGCGCUUGACUGGCCGCGCGCACCCGGGAUUCAGCGCGCGCUCGGCGGGGACGGAGGAGGAGCAGGAGGAGGAAGUGGAGGCGAGCCCCCGGGGGUGAGGUGGGGGGGUCUCGACAGCCAUGGGGCCCUUUAGGAGAUAAGUAGACUUCUCCGUCUGCUGUCGCUUCUUCUACUGCUGCUGCCGUCGCGCGCAACUGUCGCGCGCACGCGCACCUUUUUCACGGGGACCUAAUUGGAUUCUUUUGAUCUUCAACCCCCGCAACCCCUCCAGUCGGAAGUUAUGUCCAGGCCUCUUGCUCAGCUGCUGCCGCCGUCGGAGCUCCCCGGGGGGGCCAGCGCCCAGUUUGGAGCCCCCAACGGGACGUCGAGCGCCCCCCCGGGCGGCCACCUAACCUCCAUGAACAAUCUCAAGUCGCUCCUGCAACUGCCCAUCAAGGCCGACCAGCGAGGCAGCAAAGACUGCUGCGAGAUCAAAGAUAAAGACAAACCGCUGGACUCGGAUGAGGACACGUUAGGAUUGGGCGUCGGCAGCGGGCCCGGUGCUCUUGGCGGCGGCUUGGGCUCAGGGGCGCUGCGGCCCAAUUCACAGUCGGCGUUCCUGGGCCCGCUGCUGUGGGAGCGGACGCUGCCCUGUGAUGGUGGCCUGUUCCAGCUACAGUACAUGGACCUGGAGGAGUUCUUGACCGAGAAUGGAAUGGGCAUGCACGGAAACGGGCCCAGCUCCGCCGGCGCGCAGAUCCCCUCGCAGAGCUCCCAAUCAGCAGUCCCCAGUCAGAGCUCGCAGUGCCCGCCCGGCUCUCCUUCGCCGUGCUCGUCCUCUUCCUCCAUGUCGUCGUCGUCGUCCUCAUCGUCCCUGCUGGGACUGGAGAGCGUCCAAGCGCCGCCGCCUCAGCAGCAAGGCUUGAUGGGAGCACCCGAGUGUCUGCACGGUGGUCAGGUGGCGGCCCAGGACGCGUCCCCCACCUCCAGCGGCCCACCCGGCUCGGCGGGGGCGUCGACAGCCACGUCGGGCGGCGGCGGCGGCGACAUUAGACUGUACUUUGACCCCGACCCGGCCGAUGUGGCUCUCUCCAGCGUGCCGGGCCAGGAGGCCUUCGACCCGCGCCGGCACCGCUUCAGCGAUGAAGAGCUCAAACCGCAGCCCAUGAUCAAGAAGGCGCGCAAGAUGCUCGUGCCCAAUGAGCAGAAGGACGAGAAGUACUGGAGCCGUCGCGUGAAGAACAAUGAGGCCGCCAAGCGCUCGCGCGAUGCGCGGCGACUGAAGGAGAACCAGAUUUCGGUGCGCGCCGCCUUCCUGGAGCGGGAGAACGCCGCCCUGCGCCUGGAGGUGGCUGACAUGCGCAAGGAGCUCGGACGCUGCCGCAACAUCAUCAACAAGUACGAGAGUCGCCAUGGCGACCUGUGAUUCCCACCGCCAGGGAUGGCGACCAGUCAACCCGACAACAGCAGCACUUUAGCGGAAGUCCGCCGGACGGGACCAACCGCUGCGGCGCCCGCGCCUUCCUGCUUGCACCGCACCUCCCAUCGGGACUUUCUGCACACGUCCGGUCGUCUCCGCCUCCUCUUUUCUAUGUGGCAAAGUCUAUUUUUCAAAGUGGCCAACAGAAAGCGGAGUGGCGACCACUCAGCUGAACAAGUCUGGGGUAAGCGUGCAGAUGGAAAGGCCAUGCGACACUGCACCUUUUUUAGCGCCAUGCCAUAGAGUUGGAUCCCACCUGACCUCCCAAAUUGAGAUUUCUUGCGCUGCCGACGUAUUUUCAAGCGGCGAGCAUUUACCUUAACAACAGCAGCACUUUAGAGGAAGUCCUUCAUACCACUGUUGAUGUGAUGUGCCCAUACGAAGCGGUAUAACAUGAAGCGACACUGGGUCUGCCCCUUUUUUUUUUUUUUUUGCGCGCGUCAACAUAGCUCACUCUCACUUUUGCACCCCGAUACUCCGCACUGCGUCCAACCGUGUCAUGUUCUUGUGUGUCAAAGUCUAUUUUCCAAGAAGACAAACGGGAAGCAGUGUGGCGACCAAUCAACCAAUCAAGAGAAACAUUUUUGUAGAAGUCUGGCGCAGACUUGGGGGAGACGACGCAGUACGGCAACACGAUGUGACUGUGCGCUGUUUUCAGUACGUCACGCCACUAAAUCUGGAUCUGAAUUUUCGCUACACAUCUGACAUAUGGCGUCCGCUCGCUUUGUGUUCUUCUCUCGUGACAAAAGUCAAGACAAUGUGUCCACGAUACACGGCAACGUUUUGCAGCCGAUCCCAUCCCGGCAAGAAGUGGCGAGUUAUCACUUUGAUGGCCGGUCCUGUUGUUUUCUACGUGUCAAAAUCUAUUUUUCAAGUGGACAAACGGGAAGCAAGUCAGUCGGGGGUGGCAGAGGAAGCGAAGGGACGGCUAACAACUGCAGCACUUUCGUGGAACUUUGACAGAAAGCCUAUGCGGCUACACUAUGCGGCACUGGCUGCCACCGUUUUUUUACGUGUCAACCCAGCUUGCUCCCACUUUGCCUCAUCGGGACUUUCCACACAUGUCCGACAUCCGCCGUCCAAUCGUAUCGUGUUCUUUUCUAUGUGUCAAGUCUAUUUUUCAAGCCGACAAACAGGAAGCAGGGCGGCCAUGUCUAUUUUUCUACGAGCGGGCAAGCAGGACUUUUCCUCGAUUUUCGACAGCAGGCAUGCGGAGGGAGGCGCUGCACUUGUUCGCCCCGAGCCGGCGGAACCGAAUGUAUCUCGUCCAAUCAGGGAUUUCAUACGGGGCAAGAGGCGGGGCUUGGGAACCAUUGAGAGAGCUGAGAGGCAGUUCGGGGAUCAGAUGUUCGAUAUCUUUUUCUUCUUUGGAUUUUUUUGGGAGCUCGUUAAGCAAUUUACUUAGCCACGUCUGAUUGGCUGACGGGUCGCCGAACGCACCUUCGUUCGGCACCGUUGCGUUGUAUUACUUCUGUCACCAUUCUUACAUUUGCAGCAGAAGGAAAACACACACACACACACACACACAUCCCUGAGACAGAAACUCAAAAACAGGCAUGUGUCCCCCUCCCACCACAUCAAAAACACACACAAUGCAUACAUACACAUCCGCAAACACAAACUCAUCACACCCAUGCAAUAUACGCAGAGAUUGUCAUUGUUGUUUUGGACUUUAAUGGUGCUGAUCUGAAACGGUCCUUGACUUUAAACUCACCCAUUAUCACCCCCACCCAACCCCACCCCCACCCAAGUGAACUGCCUGUGAAGCCUUGAUUUGUGUUUUGAGUUUCUCUUGUGUUUGUGUCUGGAUGAAAGGGUGUGUGGACUUCCACGUGUCCAUCGUAUGACGGACGCUCCCUACUCAUACUCAACUCCUUCUCCUCUCACUACAUACAUAUAUGUGUAUGUAUCCACAUAUAUAUACAUAUACUGUAUGUGUAAUAUGAAUAAACAGUAUGUGUAUAUUAUAUAUGCUUGAACUUUGUGAUUCUAGUUGUAAUAUACAUAUUUGGAAGGUGUUACAGAGGAAAACAAAAAUUUGGGCGGUCAUUUUUCUCUCAGGUAUUUUUGUCUGAGUUAUUUAAAAUACACAUGAAAAAAAUGCUACGCAAAAAACAAGUAUAACGUUUGCUUUCACAUUUAAAGGCUUGUUGACUUUUACAGUUGGGCUCAUCUUCACCACACACACACUCAGUAGAGGGUUUGUUUUUUUUUUUUUGUGUGGGGAGAUCAAAACCAAACGAAGCCUGAAAGGUCUAAAAAUACCAAAAAAAA